rnacentral:lncRNA from 1 species
UUGCAAGAAGCACAAGAUCGAUAUAUGGAGGCCGCGAAAUGUAUUGAGAAGAUGCAGCAUCAAGUGCAAAAGCUUGAAAAGGAAAAUGCCGAGUUAAAAGAUACAAACAAAAUGCAAGCGGGCACAAUUGAAGAGCUUCAGAGAAACCCGCCGGGUCCAAGUUCGGUAAGUCGGGUUUUUUCUGUCAUAACCGAAAAGGAAUUUUAAUUGUGUUACCAAUAUUAUAUGAGACUAUUUUAGAAAAUAGGA